CAUGCCCCACCAUGAUGAUAAUGGACUAAACCUCUGAAACUACAAGGUCUAUGUAGCUCUAGCUAUCCUGGACUCACCAUGUGGACUUUUCCCUCCUUCGCUCUGAGGGGACAGUACCUACCCAGCGCAGAGCCUGCAACAAGAAGGCUUUCAAGCGGUCACUGCCCCAAAUCAAAUCCUUCUUCAGUUUCUCAUAAUCCAGGGAGGGCAGUAAUGGGAC